UAGGGCGUAAAGGGUGCGUAGGUGGUCUUUCAAGUCGGUGGUUAAAGGCUACGGCUCAACCGUAUUAAGCCGCCGAAACUGGAAGACUUGAGUGCAGGAGAGGAAAGUGGAAUUCUCAGUGUAGCGGUGAAAUGCGUAGAUAUUGAGAAGAACACCAGUAGCGAAGGCGGCUUUCUGGACUGUAACUGACACUGAGGCACGAAAGCGUGGGUAGCAAACAGGAUUAGAUACCCUGGUAGUCCACGCCGUAAACGAUGAGUAUUAGGUGUCGGGGGUUACCCCCCUCGGUGCCGCAGUUAACGCAUUAAAUACUCCGCCUGGGGAGUACGCACGCAAGUGUGAAACUCAAAGGAAUUGACGGGGACCCGCACAAGUAGCGGAGCAUGUGGUUUAAUUCGAAGCAACGCGAAGAACCUUACCUAAGCUUGACAUCUCUCAGAUCGGUAGUUAAUCCUACCUUCCCUUCGGGGCUGAGAUGACAGGUGGUGCAUGGUUGUCGUCAGCUCGUGUCGUGAGAUGUUGGGUUAAGUCCCGCAACGAGCGCAACCCUUGUCUUUAGUUGCCAGCAUUAAGUUGGGCACUCUAGAGAGACUGCCAGGGAUAACCUGGAGGAAGGUGGGGAUGACGUCAAAUCAUCAUGCCCCUUAUGCUUAGGGCUACACACGUGCUACAAUGGGUGGUACAGAGGGUUGCCAAGCCGCAAGGUGGAGCUAAUCCCUUAAAGCCAUUCUCAGUUCGGAUUGUAGGCUGAAACUCGCCUACAUGAAGCUGGAGUUACUAGUAAUCGCAGAUCAGAAUGCUGCGGUGAAUGCGUUCCCGGGUCUUG
rnacentral:rRNA from 1 species